GAUGAACGCUGGCGGCGUGCCUAAUACAUGCAAGUCGAGCGCGUUUCGAAGGUGCUUGCACCUUCAAUGAAACGAGCGGCGGACGGGUGAGUAACACGUAGGUAACCUACCUUUAUGACUGGGAUAACCACGGGAAACCGGGGCUAAUACCGGAUAAGAUUUAGCUUCGCAUGAAGCAGAAGUAAAAGGCAGUUUCGGCUGUCACAUAAAGAUGGACCUGCGGCGCAUUAGCUAGUUGGAGAGGUAAGAGCUCCCCAAGGCGACGAUGCGUAGCCGACCUGAGAGGGUGAUCGGCCACACUGGGACUGAGACACGGCCCAGACUCCUACGGGAGGCAGCAGUAGGGAAUCUUCCGCAAUGGACGAAAGUCUGACGGAGCAACGCCGCGUGAGUGAAGAAGGUUUUCGGAUCGUAAAGCUCUGUUGUUAAGGAAGAACACCAUGGAUAGGAAAUGAUCGAUGG
rnacentral:rRNA from 1 species